rnacentral:lncRNA from 1 species
AGGUAAACAAUAAAUAUUGGUGGCUACUGGCUUGUAUGAUGUACUGUUGGUUGAUUAACUUAGAAUAGUUAAUAAUCGCUCGUAAAAAUGGCUAUAGUGGAUCCUUCAUUGACUGAAACAACGUUGAUGGAUGAAGUUUUGAAGUAUGGCUUGUUCCUUGGAGCUAUUUUCCAGAUGAUGUGUAUAGCAGCUGUAGUGUUCGUUCCCAGCAAGAAUGAAAAACGAGAGGGAGAUUCAAGUGAUGAUGAUGGCUCUGAACAUGGCUCACCACACACACCACAUCGAUCUCACCCAUCACAUCAGUCUCACCACAGGCGCAAACAUGACAAGAAGAAAAGACGUUAAAUUCUUUUAAUGUCCCUCGCCGUGUUGUCCAUAGAUCUGUGGCUAAUUUCUGAGCUUAGAUUGCUGUAAGAAAUAGCAGGAAAGAGGGUCUCAAUAUGAGUUCCUGUGGUUGUGCAGUGUUUUAAUUAUUUUGAUGAUCCAUUCUAUUCAUCUUUAUAUAAUAUGUUUAAUGUCAUACUAAUUUUUUUUUUUCAAUUUCUACAUUGUCCAACUUUGAAGAGAAAAAAAAUCAAAUCAUCUCUAACAUCUCCCCUGCAUCACCCUGACUUCAGCUUAAUUUUACUCAUGUUUUCACAUAAUAUCUUGACUUUUCUAAUGUUUUUGAUUGACUUUACAAGUAUGGAGACUUGCAAUGAACAAUUACUUAAGGCAUAUGUAUAAUGAUGCUUUUAUCUUGAGUUUCACUGCUGCAUUUGUUUGUUUCAUCAGUUCCACUAAAUUAAGUAGUAUUACUCAAGUUCUAAACUUAUUCCUUGAUAAACAAUGUGUGAACAAAUGUAAGUAUUAAACUUGUGACUUGAGGAUGACUCAUAAUACCAACAGGUUUCUGAGUAUUAUAUGAAGCUGUCAUACCCUUUAAUUUUCGUAUGUUAACUAAAAUUUAGAAGGUAUCAAUUUAGUUAUAUAUGCCCUUUGUUUGAAGGUUGUGCAAUAUGUCCUUAUCAUUAAAGCACAUCGAGUAAGAGACCACUAUUAAUCUCUCAAAUGUUACUAUAAUUCAAUAACGAAGUGUUUUGUUUUAAUUUAAGUUCUACGUUAGGUAGGUAUAGCGUCUGUUUUUAAACCAGCUGAUAUUGGUAAACUUACGUUGAGCACAUGAUAUUAAGUUAUAAUUAUAUCUGUACAUUCUAAACGCGAGUUGCUGCUACUUCGCAUGAUUCUCAUUUAUAUGUAUCUACAAGUAUUUGGUUUCCAUCCUGCAUAUUUCUGUGAUGUAUAUGUAAUGAACUCUUCUUGUGAUUCUUCACUUUAUCUUGAACUGGCUUUUGCUACAAAAAAUUUAAAUUAAUAA